rnacentral:rRNA from 1 species
CCCUACGGGGUGCAGCAGGCGCGAAAACUUUGCAAUGCGGGAAACCGUGACAGGGGAACUCCGAGUGCCCGUAAAAUCGGGCUGUCCAUCAGUUUAAAUAACUGGUGAAGAAAGGGCCGGGCAAGACCGGUGCCAGCCGCCGCGGUAAUACCGGCGGCUCGAGUGGUGGCCACUAUUACUGGGCUUAAAGCGUUCGUAGCUGGUUUGUUAAGUCUCUGGGGAAAUCUUCCGGCUCAAUCGGAAGGCGUCUCAGGGAUACUGGCAGACUAGGGACCGGGAGAGGUGAGGGGUACUCCAGGGGUAGGAGUGAAAUCCUGUAAUCC